CUACGGGCUGCACCAGUGAGGAAUAUUGCACAAUGGGGGGAACCCUGAUGCAGCAACGCCGCGUGGAGGAUGACGCAUUUCGGUGUGUAAACUCCUUUUAUAUGUCAAGAAAAUGACGGUAGCAUAUGAAUAAGCACCGGCUAACUCCGUGCCAGCAGCCGCGGUAAUACGGAGGGUGCAAGCGUUACUCGGAAUCACUGGGCGUAAAGGACGCGUAGGCGGGUUGGAAAGUCAGGUGUGAAAUCCUACAGCUUAACUGUAGAACUGCACUUGAAACUUCUAAUCUAGAGUAUGGGAGGGGGAGAUGGAAUUAGUGGUGUAGGGGUAAAAUCCGUAGAUAUCACUAGGAAUACCUAAAGCGAAGGCGAUCUCCUGGAACAUUACUGACGCUAAGGCGUGAAAGCGUGGGGAGCAAACAGGAUUAGAUACCCGGGUAGUC
rnacentral:rRNA from 1 species